rnacentral:rRNA from 1 species
AAUCUUGGACAAUGGGGGAAACCCUGUUCCAGCCAUCCCGCGUGUAUGAUGAAGGCCUUCGGGUUGUAAUGUACUUUUGUCAGAGAAGAAAAGGUACCUCCUAAUACGAGGUACUGCUGCUGGUAUGUGCAGAAUAAUCACCGGCUACCUACGUACCAGCAGCCGCGGUAAUACGUACGGUGCAAGCGUUAAUCGGAAUUACUGGGCGUAAAGCGUGUGUAGGCGGUUCGGAAAGAAAGAUGUGAAGUCCCAGGGCUCAACCUUGGAACUGCAGUUUUAACUGCCGAGCUAGAGUAUGUCAGAGGGGGGUAGAAUUCCACGUGUAGCAGUGAAAUGCGUAGAUAUGUGGAGGAAUACCGAUGGCGAAGGCAGCCCCCUGGGAUAAUACUGACGCUCAGACACGAAAGCGUGGGGAGCAAACAG